rnacentral:tRNA from 1 species
GUCAGAAUGGCCAGCGGUCUAAGGCGCUGCGUUCAGGUCGCAGUCUCCAUUGGAGGCGUGGGUUCAAAUCCCACUUCUGACA